UUGUAUGUGUCUGCAGGUGUGAAGUGAGUCUCAUGUAGGCAGCAUGUAGAUGAGUCUUAUGAUUUAGUUACCUUUUGUCUUUUGAUUGAGCAUUUAGACUAUUUACAUUUGAAGGAAUUACCGAUAGGAAUGAUCUAUAGUGAUCCAAAAUAUUGGCAUCUUCUGGUGUCCUUCACGCAUUUGCAAUGACCAGUUCUUCAUGACCAAAUUAAAGCAGGAGUGCCUGGAAACACAGAUAAGCCGCUCCGAUGUCUGAAGAGGAGAUCAAAGGAGACUCUCACUGACCCCCAGGAGCAGCAAGCAGCCGGGCAAAGGUACCUGAGGGCCCCUUGAGCACGGUGCUUUCUUGACACCUCUGGAGGUCAUGGGUAGGUCUCUGGCAAAUCCUGGACCCUAGUUCCAGAGCUGAGACUGGGUCCUCGUGCGAUGCACAGUGGAUCACCC
rnacentral:lncRNA from 1 species